AUGUGCAGUUACAGAUAUGAUUUAUUGCCAAUCAUUUUGUCUUUUAGAUCACUUAAGAAGCUGGUUAGUAGAUGUUUGAUUGGGUUACAAGUAAAAUAUCCUUAUUCCUUUCCCCCUUUUUGCUUUUCCAGGGGGUUUUUGUUUUUGGGUAUUAGGGAUUUUUUUGGGUUGCCCAUGGUUUUGUUUUUGGCUUCAUAUAUGUUAGAACCUAACGCAACUAUACCUACCCUACCCAUAUCCUCGCUUCCUGGUUUGUGGUGGCUUCAUGUAUGUAAAUAUUUGUCAUUUGUAGCUCUAGUGUGCCCUAGUGUUCCCUAG
rnacentral:lncRNA from 1 species